AGCGAACGCUGGCGGCAGGCCUAACACAUGCAAGUCGAACGAACCUUUCGGGGUUAGUGGCGGACGGGUGAGUAACACGUGGGAACGUGCCUUUAGGUUCGGAAUAACUCAGGGAAACUUGUGCUAAUACCGAAUGUGCCCUUCGGGGGAAAGAUUAAUCGCCUUUAGAGCGGCCCGCGUCUGAUUAGCUAGUUGGUUGAGGUAAUGGCUCACCAAGGCGACGAUCAGUAGCUGGUCUGAGAGGAUGAUCAGCCACAUUGGGACUGAGACACGGCCCAAACUCCUACGGGAGGCAGCAGUGGGGAAUCUGGCGCAAUGGGCGAAAGCCUGACGCAGCCAUGCCGCGUGAAUGAUGAAGGUCUUAGGAUUGUAAAAUUCUUUCACCGGGGACGAUAAUGACGGUACCCGGAGAAGAAGCCCCGGCUAACUUCGU
rnacentral:rRNA from 1 species